rnacentral:rRNA from 1 species
UGGGGAAUUUUGGACAAUGGGCGAAAGCCUGAUCCAGCAAUGCCGCGUGUGUGAAGAAGGCCUUCGGGUUGUAAAGCACUUUUGUCCGGAAAGAAAUCCUCUGGGUUAAUACCUCGGGGGGAUGACGGUACCGGAAGAAUAAGCACCGGCUAACUACGUGCCAGCAGCCGCGGUAAUACGUAGGGUGCAAGCGUUAAUCGGAAUUACUGGGCGUAAAGCGUGCGCAGGCGGUUUUGUAAGACGGAUGUGAAAUCCCCGGGCUUAACCUGGGAACUGCAUUCGUGACUGCAAGGCUAGAGUAUGGCAGAGGGGGGUAGAAUUCCACGUGUAGCAGUGAGAUGCGUAGAGAUGUGGAGGAAUACCGAUGGCGAAGGCAGCCCCCUGGGCCAAUACUGACGCUCAUGCACGAAAGCGUGGGGAGCAAACA